GGGGAUGUAGCUCAGUGGUAGAGCGCGUGCUUUGCACGCACGAGGUUGCGGGUUCGAUCCCCGGCGUCUCCA
rfam:Macaca mulatta chromosome 4, whole genome shotgun sequence.